CUCUUGGACUGCUAUAUAAACUAGAGUAGCUUAGGCAAAAUAGGGUGGGAUGAAUAGAGAA
rnacentral:sRNA from 12 species